GAGUUUGAUCAUGGCUCAGGAUGAACGCCGACAGAAUGCUUAACACAUGCAAGUCUACUUGAUCCUUCGGGUGAAGGUGGCGGACGGGUGAGUAACGCGUAAAGAACUUGCCUUACAGACUGGGACAACAUUUGGAAACGAAUGCUAAUACCGGAUAUUAUGAUUGGGUCGCAUGAUCUGGUUAUGAAAGCUAUAUGCGCUGUGAGAGAGCUUUGCGUCCCAUUAGUUAGUUGGUGAGGUAACGGCUCACCAAGACGAUGAUGGGUAGCCGGCCUGAGAGGGUGAACGGCCACAAGGGGACUGAGACACGGCCCUUACUCCUACGGGAGGCAGCAGUGGGGAAUAUUGGACAAUGGACCAAAAGUCUGAUCCAGCAAUUCUGUGUGCACGAUGAAGUUUUUCGGAAUGUAAAGUGCUUUCAGUUGGGAAGAAGUCAGUGACGGUACCAACAGAAGAAGCGACGGCUAAAUACGUGCCAGCAGCCGCGGUAAUACGUAUGUCGCAAGCGUUAUCCGGAUUUAUUGGGCGUAAAGCGCGUCUAGGCGGCUUAGUAAGUCUGAUGUGAAAAUGCGGGGCUCAACCCCGUAUUGCGUUGGAAACUGCUAAACUAGAGUACUGGAGAGGUAGGCGGAACUACAAGUGUAGAGGUGAAAUUCGUAGAUAUUUGUAGGAAUGCCGAUGGGGAAGCCAGCCUACUGGACAGAUACUGACGCUAAAGCGCGAAAGCGUGGGUAGCAAACAGGAUUAGAUACCCUGGUAGUCCACGCCGUAAACGAUGAUUACUAGGUGUUGGGGGUCGAACCUCAGCGCCCAAGCUAACGCGAUAAGUAAUCCGCCUGGGGAGUACGUACGCAAGUAUGAAACU
rnacentral:rRNA from 1 species